rnacentral:rRNA from 1 species
AAUAGAUACCCCGGUAGUCCACGCCGUAAACGAUGAGUGCUAAGUGCUAGGGGGUUUCCGCCCCCUUAGUGCUGCAGCCAACGCAUUAAGCACUCCGCCUGGGGAGUACGGUCGCAAGACUGAAACUCAAAGGAAUUGACGGGGGCCCGCACAAGCGGUGGAGCAUGUGGUUUAAUUCGAAGCAACGCGAAGAACCUUACCAGGUCUUGACAUCCCAUUGACCACUAUAGAGACAUAGUUUUCCCUUCGGGGACAACGGUGACAGGUGGUGCAUGGUUGUCGUCAGCUCGUGUCGUGAGAUGUUGGGUUAAGUCCCGCAACGAGCGCAACCCUUGUUCUUAGUUGCCAUCAUUUAGUUGGGCACUCUAAGGAGACUGCCGGUGACAAACCGGAGGAAGGUGGGGAUGACGUCAAAUCAUCAUGCCCCUUAUGACCUGGGCUACACACGUGCUACAAUGGACGGUACAAACGGUUGCCAACCCGCGAGGGGGAGCUAAUCCGAUAAAACCGUCCUCAGUUCGGAUUGUAGGCUGCAACUCGCCUACA